rnacentral:rRNA from 1 species
UGGGCCUUCGUAGCCGGGACGGCAGCGCCCCACAGAAGCUUGCUUCGUGGCGGGGCUACCCUACUUCGGUAGGGUUUAGAGCCGUCGACCCUCUCGGAGAAGGUCGGUCCUGAACUCCACCCUUGAAUAAACUACCUUUGUUGCUUUGGCGGGCCGCCUCGCGCCAGCGGCUUCGGCUGUUGAGUGCCCGCCAGAGGACCACAACUCUUGUUUUUAGUGAUGUCUGAGUACUAUAUAAUAGUUAAAACUUUCAACAACGGAUCUCUUGGUUCUGGCAUCGAUGAAGAACGCAGCGAAAUGCGAUAAGUAAUGUGAAUUGCAGAAUUCAGUGAAUCAUCGAAUCUUUGAACGCACAUUGCGCCCUCUGGUAUUCCGGAGGGCAUGCCUGUUCGAGCGUCAUUAUAACCACUCAAGCUCUCGCUUGGUAUUGGGGUUCGCGGUUUCGCGGCUCCUAAAAUCAGUGGCGGUGCCUGUCGGCUCUACGCGUAGUAAUACUCCUCGCGUCUGGGUCCGGUAGGUCUACUUGCCAGCAACCCCCAAUUUUUACAGGUUGACCUCGGAUCAGGUAGGGAUACCCGCUGAACUUAAGCAUAUCAGGGAGCGGAGGAAGU